ACGAACGCUGGCGGCGUGCUUAACACCUGCAAGUCGCACGGAAAGGCCCUGCUUUUGUGGGGUGCUCGAGUGGCGAACGGGUGAGUAACACGUGAGUAACCUGCCCUUGACUUUGGGAUAACUUCAGGAAACUGGGGCUAAUACCGGAUAGGAGCUCCUGCUGCAUGGUGGGGGUCGGAAAGUUUCGGCGGUUGGGGAUGGACUCGCGGCUUAUCAGCUUGUUGGUGGGGUAGUGGCUUACCAAGGCUUUGACGGGUAGCCGGCCUGAGAGGGUGACCGGCCACAUUGGGACUGAGAUACGGCCCAGACUCCUACGGGAGGCAGCAGUGGGGAAUAUUGCACAAUGGGCGGAAGCCUGAUGCAGCAACGCCGCGUGCGGGAUGACGGCCUUCGGGUUGUAAACCGCUUUCGCCUGUGACGAAGCGUGAGUGACGGUAAUGGGUAAAGAAGCACCGGCUAACUACGCG
rnacentral:rRNA from 1 species